UACGAGAGGCCCAAACGUUAUUCGGAAUUACUGGGCUUAAAGAGUUCGUAGGCGGCAUGAAAAGUAGGGUGUGAAAGCCCUCGGCUCAACCGAGGAACUGCUUUUGAGACUGCCGAGCUAGAGUGCAGAAGGGGCAACUGGAAUUCCCAGUGUAGCGGUGAAAUGCGUAGAUAUUGGGAAGAACACCUGAGGCGAAGGCGGGUUGCUGGGCUGACACUGACGCUGAGGCGCGAAAGCCAGGGGAGCAAACGGG
rnacentral:rRNA from 1 species